CAAAGCAAAGCAGCUGGGAGGGAUUAGGCUGAGCUGGCGUCUGCACUUUCAACUGAUUCAAUUUUGCUCCACAAGACAUUGUAUCUGAGCCUUUCUGGAGACUAUUCAAAGCAAAUCAUUUUCAUUUUACCAUUUGCACCUAAGCCCAGGGGCUGAGGAACUGAAUCCUGAAGGUCUCUGUCCGGAUCACCGAUCUGCUCCCGCAGGCAGGAACCCCGUGGUGGGGCAGGCACCAGGCAUAGCCUACCAGGGGAGCAUCUCAGAGGAGAGUGCGUCGAGUGGACCAUCAGGCCAAUAGAACUGCACAGGCAUCUGUUCAUAAGUGCUCAAUUUCAGUGCAAAAUGGAAAACUGGAUAGAAAACAAGCCCCCCAGGGUACACCCUGUGCCGAGAAUGGUCUUAAAACUCCGGGACCGAUCCUCUUCCCGUGCCACAUUAGUCCAGAAUAACUUAAUCAUUUGGAAUCAGCGCUCGUGCAUGGGUACAUAGGAAAAGCGUGAACUGAAGGAUUCAGAGCACCAUGCUGCCUAGGAGCCUCGUAUCAAACACAGCAUUCAUGUGAAGAUUCCCUCUUGCGCAGGACAAGGCUGGACUCCACCCAGCAGCACAUUUUUGAAACAAAUUUUGAGCAUUUUUCAAGGAAAAUCCCUCUGGGAUGGGCUCAUCUCACAGAAUAAAGCCUGUUCUCCUUGUCUGAUUCACAGGUGAUGACUAAGCACAUGAAGCAUUCCUCAGCCCUGUGUUACAAAACUUUCACCCAGUUCCUUGUCCCACCAGAGGCAGAAACUGUACUGCAACUCACUGAUGGCAGCGAGAGCCUCUUCUCUAUCCGUGUCUCACUGCCAUGUAACUGUGUUAUUCAGGGUCUGCAGCCUUGGAGAAAUGCAUGUCACGACACUCAAGGGAGUCCUCUAGAAAAGACCAGUCUCUGGUCUGUAUGCAAAAGCUUCCAAACUUCUUCAGCCUCAUAAAUUAUUUUUUCUCUUUUAAAUGUAAUGUUUCACACAUUGCAGACUUGUUUUUAGGACAUAUUAAUGAGGUCAGAUUAGUCCUACACUUGUUUCAGCUAGAGCCAGGGUGGAAGUAUUAUAAUAACAGUGAUCCAGCCUCUAACACCAACAUGCCUCCAAGCACCCCUGUAAUCCGUUGUGCAAGGCUGACUUGCAAAGUAGGUGGAUAAAUCGUAUGCUUAUGCAUUUUGUAAUAUUGGCGCUCGGAUGAGUACCAGGGUGCAUGGUAAUCCCUAGGGAUCACAGAGGCAGCAUUUUGAGUGCAGAGCUUCAAAGUAGAGUCUAGAUGCUGCAGGAACUGAUGCUGGCAUGGACUUAGUUCCCACCUAUCAUUUUCUGCAUUACUAUUUUCUUUUCUACUACAGCCAUUGCUUCAAACUGAGCUGGCAAAGCAGGGUGAAAGUGGAUCAGUGGCGGUCAGUGCUAUGGAUAUAGGGGAUGAUCCCUCCUCCCAGUGCACACAUGAGCUGGCUAUACCACGAGGGAGGACCUGGAGCUUGUCACCCUCCAAAUCAGGCUCUUCCCAGGCAGUAUUACCCCUCAUGCAGGCAGCUGCCAGCCUGCUAGAGCCCCACAGCACCAUUACAGCUCUGUGUGUGGAAGUUCUGCAGCAUGUGGACACAGGCUGGCAAGCAAAAUCAACAUGGGCAGCUUAGGAGAGCAGGUCAAUGGGUGUCGAAAAACCAGCCACGGACACAUGCAUGUAGUGUAUGAUCAUACAGCAAUAUACAUAGACAAGAAAGUUAUGGUGAGUAGAGGUUUAUACUAAAUAGACAAAGUCCUGUUAGGUUAUAAGACAAAAUCAACAUCACCCUGGUCAGUAACUUGGGAAGUAGUUAAGAGCAGUUUUAUAGGGGCAAGAUCCCAGUGUGCAAUAGACCGCUAAAACUAUGUCUUCAGAUGGACACGUGCAAGGAUGUGUGUAACACACAGGUGUGCCUGCUCAUCCCCAUCACCUCCACCGGUCAGAGAGAGAUCAGGGCACUAUAUAUGGAACCUGAUUCCCCUCUCACAUCCAUCUAGUGCACAUCGAGGCAUGACUCCACCUGCUUUGGAAGAGCACGGGGUGAUUCACACAACGUCCAAACCAGAACUAAAGGGCCAUGCUUGCAAAAAGCUGGACCCAAUUUAUGAAAUUAAGCUAGACGGAGGCUUUGCAGGUCAGCUUGGGGACAGUAGUGACUGAGCAGUGCUCUGAGCAUGUGUACACCCAACACCUCCAAGCUGGCCAUCCAGAAGUGAAGGCAACCAGCAGGAGCCAGGUGUUUCCCCAGAUCCAGGCUUUGGGUUUUAGUAGUUCAACAUCAGCAGAAGGGGCAGGAGGCUGUUUUCAAGAUGCCAGAAUGAACCACAAUGGUGGGACCCAUCAAGACACUGGGUCCUUCCUCCGCGGCUGCCCUGGCGUAGCCCACGGUGCCAGUUCUUGGCUAAAGUGGUGCCAGGGCUUGAGAACUGGCUCAUGUUCCCAGACCAAGGCAACGUUUUUACUGAGCCAGUUUAAACCAUGAAUAAUCAUCUCUACAAACCUUCACAAGAUUCCAAUGCUAUGUAAACAGAAAUGAAUUAAAAUUAUUUUUUUCUGUGACUGUUUAAAA